GGGUCAGUAGGUUGGUCGUGCCACCGGUACGUACUGGUCUCACUGGUUCCUCCUUCCUGAAGAACCGUAAUGCCAUUAAUUUGGUGUUGCGGGGAAACAGGACUGUUACUUCGAAAAAAUUAGAGUGUUUAAAGCAAGCUAACGCUUGAAUACAUUAGCAUGGAAUAAUGAAAUAGGACGAUCGAUCCUAUUUUGUUGGUUUCUAGGAUUGACGUA
rnacentral:rRNA from 1 species